rnacentral:rRNA from 1 species
GAUUGACCUCGGAUCAGGUAGGGAUACCCGCUGAACUUAAGCAUAUCAAUAAGCGGAGGAAAAGAAACCAACCGGGAUUGCCUCAGUAACGGCGAGUGAAGCGGCAAGAGCUCAAAUUUGAAAGCUGGCCCCUCCGGGGUCCGCGUUGUAAUUUGCAGAGGAUGCUUUGGGUGCGGCCCCCGUCUAAGUGCCCUGGAACGGGCCGUCAGAGAGGGUGAGAAUCCCGUCU